AUUGAACGCUGGCGGCAGGCCUAACACAUGCAAGUCGCGCGGAGCGGCGGUCGGGUGAGUAAUGCUUAGGAAUCUGCCUGGUAGUGGGGGAUAACGUCCGGAAACGGGCGCUAAUACCGCAUACUAUUAGAUGAUGCUAGGUCGGAGUAGUUAGUUGGUGGGGUAAAGGCCUACCAAGGCGACGAUCCGUAACUGGUCUGAGGCGAUGAUCGGUCACAGUGGAACUGUGACACGGUCCAGCAUCCUACGGGAGGAAGCAGUGGGGAAUAUUGAACAAUAGGCGAAAGCCUGAUCCAGCCAUGCCGGGUGUGUGAAGAAGGUCUUCGGAGUGUAAGGCACUUUAAGUUGGGAGGCGUUACCAGCAGAAUAAGGACCGGCUAACUCCGUGCCAGCAGGCGCGGUAAUAC
rnacentral:rRNA from 1 species